CGGUUCUCCCCUUGGUUACGCUAACCUGUCAGUGUAUGAAGGGAGGAAAGUGGGCUGAUAGUCUCAUAGUGAAAAUACCAAUAAUAACUGGGCAGUAUGUGAGAAUCCGGAAUCCCCUUGGCAUCUGGCAUCUGCGCCCCUAGAGUUGUGUAGAGAGCACAUACCCCCUCCUUCCACCUUGAAUGAACCUCUCACCCCCCCCACCACCACCACUCCUU